UCUUGAUACAGAAUUCAGUCUAGUACGAAACUUCCUUAGCUUAAAUCUUUAGGGUAGCAAAAUUGUGCUCUUGCAUCGCAAAACAGCAGCCACUCCAAAGGUUCUAAACCAGAUUCUCUGAGUUUCAUACUAGUUUGAUUAACCAGAAGGUAACAGUUUUCUCUGGUUAGUUGAAUACAGUGGUCUCAGCGUAGUAAUUGGUGUUGGUUUACCUGCUGUAUGCCAGGAGUCUUUGUUGGAGAAUUCAGCUGUUCAAAAGAUAACACACAGUCUCCCUAUCCCAGAAAAAGGGAGGGAGUGUGAUCUGGGGAGGGUGUGGGGUUGGGUUCUGUUUUACUUUUCGAGAGGAAGGAGAAGGAACUGAACUGCUCUGCUGGAUAACAAAUUCUUUAAGGCUUAUAACAGAGGGCGUGUUAAGAGAGUAAUUAGUGACUGAUUCCAUCUGCACCUUGCAACAUGUUGGAAAGCAACAGGAUGUGAUGAAGGUGUUGCUAUCAAGGAUGUCCUCCUUCAUUGCAAGCCAGGUAAGAAGGGACACAGGGCAGAGUAGUUUAGGAUUUUUUUAGUCAUUAAGCAACUGUUGUGUGCUCCCAUCGAAUUCCUUCUUGUCGAAUGAAUAAUAUUUAGAAAAGCACCCUGAAUAAAACUAAACUUCAAUUCCUUUAUUACUGGUGUUAAAAGUUUAGAAUGAAUGAUUUCUGCAACAGUAAACUUUGUUUUGACUGAAACGUGACUACCCAAUAAAGGGUAGAUUUACAGAGCUUCUACUGAAGUUUAGUCAUGAUCACGAGUCUGCUGCUCCAUUAGGAAAACAAGAGGGAGAGUUAUGCAGACAUAUCUAAUUGUAUCACUAUAGCAUUCUUGACUGCAAAUCAUCUCAUUUCCAUGCAAAGCUAAGCUGCUGGCACAGAACAGGUGCAGAUCUUGGGUUGGCUCCAGUCCCGUGUUUUCAUCUCCCUGAGUCUUUACUGAAGUUGUCUCAGAACAGGAUUGUUGUGGUUUUGUCAUGUACUGAAUUUGUUGCUCCCAGUGCAUCCUGUGACAGUGCUCAGGGCAGUGUUUACAGCUCUGCAUAGACUGAGCAUCAGGUCCUAACUGUUAGCACAGUUAACUCUGUCUUCAUGUUUGCAAA
rnacentral:lncRNA from 1 species